GCUGGCCAGGGCGAGGGGAGGGACCAUCAGAAUAGCAAAGAUUGUCAUCAGAGAUGAAGAGCUGGUGCUAGGUACAUACAGAGGACGGGCACAGAGCUGAGACAAUGACUAUGACCACUUCCUCCUUCCUCUGCUGGUGUCUCAGGAGCCGUGCUACAUCCUCUACCGCCUCAACUCCCAGAAUGCACAGGGCUAUGAGUGGAUCUUCAUCGCUUGGUCACCUGAUCAAUCACCAGAAUGUAAGGGACAAGAUGGUCUACGCUGCCACCCGAGCCACACCGAAGAAGGAGUUUGGUGGAGGUCACAUCAAGGAAUAAAUGUUUGGCACAGAUGAGGUCUGUGGUAUGGAAUCGUUAAAUGAAAAACACUUUGAAUUUACUUUGGUUUAACUGACUUGUGGGUUAACCCUAUCAAUCCCAGGCCUUUGGAAUGGCCUCCCUCCUCCCUACCUUUACUUACUGCAUAUUGGAACAUUUGACUCACUCCACAGCAUUCAAGUACUCUGUUCAGGAGAUACAGGGCCAGGGGUUAAGAUGUUUACUAGACCACACCCACUCCAGAGUCCAGACAGUAGAGCAAAGCUCCACAUCCCAUAUGGGUAGACACUUGAUGAGGGGUGAAAUGAGGGCUUGGCCUCAUUUGGUCUGAAGAUUAUCAUGUGCAGGCAGUCAGUGGAUGAUGUUGCCCAGUAGAAGUUGCAUCACUGUGUGAUUAAAAGCUUAUGGCAACAGCUCAUGACAACCCUGUAGAAUGUGGGCCUCAGGGACAUAGUUGACCUCGCUACUAAAGAGCAGUCAGACUACCGUACCGAGGUUGAGUUAGAUAGGUGAGAAGGGAGCCCUCUAUUUGAAAAUGAAGAACUCUGUAAAUUAUUUUUUAUACCUUUGUAUGAUGUGUAGUACAUGUAGUCAGCCGUAUGUGUUUGUCUCUGUAAUAUGCCAUCCAGGACAAGGUUGUAUGGGUAAGCUAUGGUUCUUCUCUCAGUCUUUUCACCUGUGUAUUUUGUAUCUGUGUGAGUAUGUGUGUGGGUCUGAGCAUCAGAUUCAGGCGUCUGCAUGCUAACUGUUUCAGGUGUAUGUGUGCAAGUAUGUAUGCAAUGUGUGCAUGUGUGUGAGAGAGAAGGCGGGGAAAAAGAGAGAAAGAGCUAGAAACAAGAUGGCUGUCCAUUAUAUGCCCACAGGAUGAGCAUAGAAGGCUAAGUGACACUCCCAGAGAAUGAGCAAAGGUUUGUUCCUCCCUUUCAUCUAUAAUUCGGUACUAAAGACAUUUGAAGAGAGGCUUGCUCCCAAUAUUCCCUCUAAACUACACCACAGGCGCGCAGUAGCCCCAAGAUAGCUGCGCAGCUCCCCAGGACUGCCGCGCAGAAGAAAUACUGGAUCAGUGUCACGACUUCCUCCGAAGCUGCC